CACGGAAGAAUACCUAUUUUUCCAGAAGCAAAGAGAAAAUGAAACAUUGAAAGAAAUCGCUCUUAUAACGGACCUAUAUCACUGGAAAAUAAUCGUGGUACAUCGCAUCAACUUCUAUAAACUGGCCUUCCAUGCUGCUUUUAGCUUGGAAAGAGGAUCGUUAUUCAACGAGAGGAAGUAGACAGAAAUUGCCUCACGCUUCUUGAGGGAUUACACCACGCUGAAAAUUGAUUUGGCAAAGGUAUCCUUUGUUAGCGUAACUGAUGAUAGCUUGUCAUUAAUUUGCUCGAAGGCGGUAAACAGUUAAUCGCCGAAGCCACGCGGUUGUUAAACUGACACUCUUCGACGUUUAAUGGCCAACAUUUUCGUAUUGAUUGCUCAAAGAUCAUAAAUAUAUAAAUAUAUAAACAG